rnacentral:lncRNA from 1 species
AAACGAUCUGUGGUCUAAUAAACUCAGCUGUGUUUGUUUUCAUCAAUAAUUAGAUUUGUUUUUAAAUUCCAGCUGAAAGCUUGUCUCUGAUUGGAUGAAUCUGAGCUGAUGGGCCUUUAUAGUCGAGGACAUUCGUGUUUUGAAGAUACUCUGUGAUUUGAGAAGAGUGCAAACUUCCAGAACUUCAGUAUUCUUACUAAAGAAAAACACGGCUGGGAGAAUGAGGUCGGCUGUGUUCAUGUUCAGCUGUUUGUGUCUGAGUCUUGCGGCUCCAGUGGAGGAACAUCACGAGCGUGAGGCCAGAGAUGCCAGUGAAGAAGAGGAUCUUCGUGUUUUACUAACAGAAAUGAAAGAAACUUUGGCUACGAUCAACAACAAUAACGCCCCGGUUCCUGAAGUUCCUCCACAGCUGCCCCAGGACCCCCAGGCCUCUCUCCAGCCCAGACCCGCCAUCAUUCUGGCUCCUCUCCCCCCGGCUGCCCCCCAGCUCGAACCCAAACCCGCGCAGGGUCCCGCUACCCCUCAGAUUAACCUCUUCAUUUCCACCAACCCCCAGCAGGGCGGCGCCGGCGCUCCACAGCCACGCCCUCGGCCGGCCUUUCCGGGUCAGGAGGUUCUGAUCGGGGGGGCGCCGGUCCCGCCGAUGCCUUUUCUGCCCCCAGCAGGUCCAGCACUUCCCCUCCCGAACCUCGCCCCUCAGGACGUCCCGAUGAUGGCCACUCUGCCGGAGCAGGACCCACAAAACCCCCCUCAGAACCAGUUCAUCUACCCGACGGGGCAGUACCCGUUCAUUAACCCCUACCUGAACCCAUACGGGAACCCCUAUGGGAGCCUAUAUGGGAACCUGUACGGGAACCCCUACGGGAACCUGUACGGGAACCCCUACGGGAACCUGUACGGGAACCCCUACCUCCAAGGCCCUUACGGCAUAAACAGGGGCUUCAGACCCCCGCCCAUCGCUAUCACCCCCCCCAUCAUCUUCAGAGAGCGCACCGCCGGGGCCACCAUCCCAGUAUAGGGCCCUAACCGGGAUCAGCCAGAGCACUGGGAGUAAUGGCCAAAAACACAAACACACACACACUCAUCAAUCCCUUACAGUGUUACAGUUCUGAUUCUGUUCAUCAAUUACGAUAAUUAUUGAUUGAUUUAUUGAUUUUGCGAUAUCCACAGUUUGACAGCUGCUUGUGUGUAUUCUGACUGCAGUGCGAAAUGUAUUGGGAAUUUAAUUCAUAAUAAAAAUUAAUAAAAGUAAAUCA